GACGAACGCUGGCGGCGUGCUUAACACAUGCAAAUCGAACGGUAAGGCCCUUCGGGGUACACGAGUGGCGAACGGGUGAGUAACACGUGGGUGAUCUGCCCUGCACUUCGGGAUAAGCCUGGGAAACUGGGUCUAAUACCGGAUAGGACCACUGCCUGCAUGGGUGGUGGUGGAAAGCUUUUGCGGUGUGGGAUGGGCCCGCGGCCUAUCAGCUUGUUGGUGGGGUGAUGGCCUACCAAGGCGACGACGGGUAGCCGGCCUGGGAGGGUGACCGGCCACACUGGGACUGAGAUACGGCCCAGACUCCUACGGGAGGCAGCAGUGGGGAAUAUUGCACAAUGGGCGCAAGCCUGAUGCAGUGACGCCGCGUGAGGGAUGACGGCCUUCGGGUUGUAAACCUCUUUCAGCACCGACGAAGCGCAAGUGACGGUAGGUGCAGAAGAAGGACCGGCCAACUACGUGCCAGCCGCCGCCGUAA
rnacentral:rRNA from 1 species